ACCAGGGUGGCGCAGCGGGUAGCGCACGCCUUUCAUAAGGGCGCGGUCGCCGGUUCGAGCCCGGCCCCUGGUA
rnacentral:tRNA from 1 species